CUGCGCCUUGCUGUCUGGAGGCUUCGCUAGAGUCUGUUGACGGCAUCACCGAUCUGUGGUCUCAGCCCGUCCAGAGGUCGAGCAGGUACCAUGGGAUGUGAAGCUCCAGCCACCGAUCAUCCUGGCAGACCGUCCCAUGGCUGCUGCAGGUGAACAAGGACACCCGCACCGGGCAGGACCCUCCGAGGGCAGAGUCCCUACCAGCAGCUGCGCAAGGUCCAGACCCAUCUUUCGGCCGACAGGCGGAUAUCGUGGCUCCGAAAUCCCGUUCAUUACUUCACAGAAAGAGCAAUACAAGGUGAAAGCACGCUCGGCUUGAACACAGACUGCCCCAGAGGGCACUACAGACCUGAACUUCAUCUAAAAGCAAGAAGAGCUUCACUCCUAGUUCUGUCUUUAUUUCUUGACCACAGAAUGCAUUGCUGAGGCCAAAGGGUGGCCCAACACACGUGGCUCUUGUUCCAGGAAGAUAAGGAGGGCAUGCAGCUUGCAGACGGCAGACCGGGGGACAUCUCAGCCUUCGUAAUCACCUGGGCCAAAUCCUAUACUAAAUCUGCUCUCAAGAAGGAAUUUAGUUCUGCUUCUCUGGGGAAGGCUGGCUGAUACGUGGACAUAACUGUGGGGCAGCUCAGGCACUGGAUUGGCCAAGUGGCGUAGUAAGGCCCUGAGCUCAUGUCUUCUCAUGGGCACACCGAAAUCACUAUCAGCGGAACAACCAUCAGUGAAAGAGAGCGGAACCUACCAGAAAAGACCUUCUGCAACUGAAGGCACAAAGAAGGGACCACAGCGAGACAGGUAGGAGGAGUGGAUGCAAGAUGUAAUCAAGU